GGAAUUUUCCGCAAUGGGCGAAAGCCUGACGGAGCAAUACCGCGUGAGGGAAGACUGCCUAUGGGUUGUAAACCUCUUUUUUCAGGGAGGAAUAAAUGACGUGUACCUGAAGAAUAAGCAUCGGCUAACUCCGUGCCAGCAGCCGCGGUAAGACGGAGGAUGCAAGUGUUAUCCGGAAUCACUGGGCGUAAAGCGUCUGUAGGUGGUCAAAUAAGUCAACUGUUAAAUCUUGAAGCUUAACUUCAAAAUCGCAGUCGAAACUAUUAGACUAGAGUAUAGUAGAGGUAAAGGGAAUUUCCAGUGGAGCGGUGAAAUGCGUAGAUAUUGGAAAGAACACCAAUGGCGAAGGCACUUUACUGGGCUAUUACUAACACUCAGAGACGAAAGCUAGGGUAGCAAAUGGGAUUAGAUACCCCUGUAGUC
rnacentral:rRNA from 1 species